rnacentral:rRNA from 1 species
UACGGAGGGUGCAAGCGUUGUUCGGAAUCACUGGGCGUAAAGGGCGUGUAGGCGGUCCGCUAAGUCUGAUGUGAAAGCCCGGGGCUCACCCCCGGAAGGGCAUUGGAAACUGGCGGACUCGAGUCCCGGAGAGGAAGGUGGAAUUCCUGGUGUAGCGGUGAAAUGCGUAGAUAUCAGGAGGAACACCAGUGGCGAAGGCGGUGCUCUGGGCCGGAACUGACGCUGAGGAGCGAAAGCGUGGGGAGCAAACAGG